AAAUUGAAGAGUUUGAUCAUGGCUCAGAUUGAACGCUGGCGGCAGGCCUAACACAUGCAAGUCGAGCGGAAACGAGUUAUCUGAACCUUCGGGGGACGAUAACGGCGUCGAGCGGCGGACGGGUGAGUAAUGCCUAGGAAAUUGCCCUGAUGUGGGGGAUAACCAUUGGAAACGAUGGCUAAUACCGCAUGAUGCCUACGGGCCAAAGAGGGGGACCUUCGGGCCUCUCGCGUCAGGAUAUGCCUAGGUGGGAUUAGCUAGUUGGUGAGGUAA
rnacentral:rRNA from 1 species